UCCGGUGGCAAUGGCGUGAGGGAAACACCUGUUCCCAUUCCGAACACAGAAGUUAAGCCUCACAGCGUCGAUGGUACUGCUUGCGAGAGUGAGUGGGAGAGUAGAUCGCUGCCGGGU
rnacentral:rRNA from 1 species